rnacentral:rRNA from 1 species
UGAAACCGUUCAGGGGUAAACCUGAGAAACCCGAAAGGUCGAACGGGGAGAUUCACCGCGGCUCGCGGUAGAGGCUCGGCGCUCGUGCGACUGACGGCCCCCGGGUCGCCUGCGCCUUGCGCCCCGUUCCGUCGACUGCGAACGCGUGCACUUCUCCCCUAGUAGGACGUCGCGAUCCGUUGGGCGCCGGUCUAAGGACCGCGGAGGAGACCGGACGGAACGUUCUGCGUUCGCCGUCCGGACCCGCGGAUCCCCGGCCGGCUCGCUCGACGGUAGCCGUGAGGCGCUGGGCCGCGACUUCAGCUCGCGUCCGGCCCGCAGCAAGCGCGCCGUGCGAUCCGGCGAUCGGACUCUGUGCCGAUUCCGGUCCUCGGUGGCUGUUCGCCGCGGUGUUCUCGGACAGACCCAGUUGAAACGCCGAUCUGCGACGACGAAGCUUUGGGUACUUUCAGGACCCGUCUUGAA